GAUGAAGAACGUGGCGAAAUGCGAUACUUGGUGUGAAUUGCAGAAUCCCGUGAACCAUCGAGUCUUUGAACGCAAGUUGCGCCCGAAGCCAUUAGGCCGAGGGCACGCCUGCCUGGGCGUCACACGUCGUUGCCCCCCCAUCUACUCCUUCGGGAUUGCGGGGGGCGGAUGAUGGCCUCCCGUGCGCCUCGCCGCGCGGUUGGCAUAAAUGCCAAGUCCUCGGCGACGCACGCCACGACAAUCGGUGGUUGCGAAACCUCGGUUGCCCGUCGUGUGCGGUCGUCGCGCAUCGAGGGCUCGAAAAAAUUGCCGGGUUCCGGCUCGGCUUUCAACGCGACCCCAGGUCAGGCGGGGUUACCCGCUGAAUUUAAGCAUAUCAAUAAGCGGAGGA
rnacentral:misc_RNA from 1 species